CCACCGCCCAGUCACAGGCUUUGUAUAGGAUGUCGGUCAUCCUCCUGUCUUUUAUUUUAUUUAUUUUUUUUGCCAUUUGUAAUAAAGGGGACGCCAGCACACCCUCAAGAAAGGUUUCAUCCAACUUUGCUCACUGGCGCAUAUCGUGCGCCCGGGAAGCUGCAGAUUCCCGUCACCCACAAGUGCAGCCGCAGCCUUCUCCUGGACGCGGGGAAGCAGAUAGCUGCCAGAAAACUCAUGUAGGACUGAAACCAACUGGGUGCUUGCCAGGCUACCACUCUUCUUGUGGAAGACCACAAUAGAAGUCAUGCAAGGAAAGCAAUGCAUUUGAAGCACAGAAGCCACAUGAACGGGAUCCAUCUCUCUCACAGGGAAUAUAUCCCCAAUCUUUUUAUCCACAACUACAGAUACAGGAGACUUAGCAACUUUGAUCCUGGCACAAACUCCUUGAAGUGUUCGAUAGUUCCUUAUACUUUGUAAUGAAAUUUGCAACAUGCAAACAUGAAGUUGCCUUU